CUCGGUAGUGGCCACUGCGCAGACCAGACUUCGCUCGUUUUUGUGCGCCUCGCUCCGCUUUUCCUCCGCAACCAUGUUUGACAAACCCGAUAUGACUGAGAUUGAGAAAUUCGAUAAGUCGAAACUGAAGAAGACAGAGAUGCAAGAGAAAAAUCCACUGCCUUCCAAAGAAACGAUUGAACAGGAGAAGCAAGCAGGCGAAUCGUAAUGAGGCGUGUGCCGCCAAUAUGCACUGUACAUUCCACAAGCAUUGCCUUAUUUUACUUCUUUUAGCUGUUUAACUUUGUAAGAUGCAAAGAAGUUGGAUCAAGUUUAAAUGACUGUGCUGCCCCUUUCACAUCAAAGAACUACUGACAACGAAGGCCGCGCCUGCCUUUCCCAUCUGUCUAUCUGGCUGGCAGGGAAGGAAAGAACUUG